rnacentral:rRNA from 1 species
UUGCAGACGACUUGAAUGGGAACGGGGUACUGUAAGCGGUAGAGUAGCCUUGUUGCUACGAUCCGCUGAGGUUAAGCCCCUGUUCUAAAGAUUUGU